UAUAAUGUUUUAACACUUCGUUUUAUUUAAAAUUUUUUGUGAUUAAUACUUUUAUUCUUACUAAAUGAUAAAAUAUGAAUACUACUUUAUGCGUGAUUAAUUUUUUUUAAGUUUUUAUACAAAUUUUUUAAAUAUGACGAAUGGCUAAACGUUGGGUACGAAAA
rnacentral:pre_miRNA from 1 species